GACGAACGCUGGCGGCGUGCCUAAUACAUGCAAGUUGAGCGAUGAAGCUUGGUGCUUGCCCCAAUUUGAAGAGCAGCGAACGGGUGAGUAACGCGUGGGGAAUCUGCCUUUGAGCGGGGGACAACAUUUGGAAACGAAUGCUAAUACCGCAUAACAACUUUAAACAUAAGUUUUAAGUUUGAAAGAUGCAAUUGCAUCACUCAAAGAUGAUCCCGCGUUGUAUUAGCUAGUUGGUGAGGUAAAGGCUCACCAAGGCGAUGAUACAUAGCCGACCUGAGAGGGGGAUCGGCCACAUUGGGACUGAGACACGGCCCAAACUCCUACGGGAGGCAGCAGUAGGGAAUCUUCGGCAAUGGACGAAAGUCUGACCGAGCAACGCCGCGUGAGUGAAGAAGGUUUUCGGAUCGUAAAACUCGGUUGGUAGAGAAGAACGUUGGUGAGAGUGGAAAGCUCAUCAAGUGACGGUAACUACCCAGAAAGGGACGGCUAACUACGUG
rnacentral:rRNA from 1 species